rnacentral:rRNA from 1 species
UACGAAGGGGGCUAGCGUUGUUCGGAAUCACUGGGCGUAAAGGGCGCGUAGGCGGCUUUGUAAGUCGGGGGUGAAAGCCUGUGGCUCAACCACAGAAUUGCCUUCGAUACUGCAUGGCUUGAGACCGGAAGAGGUAAGUGGAACUGCGAGUGUAGAGGUGAAAUUCGUAGAUAUUCGGAAGAACACCAGUGGCGAAGGCGGCUCACUGGUCCGGUACUGACGCUGAGGUGCGAAAGCGUGGGGAGCAAACAGG